AUUGAACGCUGGCGGCGUGCUUAACACAUGCAAGUCGAACGCGAAAGGGACUUCGGUCCUGAGUAAAGUGGCGCACGGGUGAGUAACGCGUGGAUAAUCUGCCCUUAUGAUCGGGAUAACAGUUGGAAACGGCUGCUAAUACCGGAUACGCUCAAAAUGAACUUUUUGAGGAAAGAUGGCCUCUGCUUGCAUGCUAUCACGUAAGGAUGAGUCCGCGUCCCAUUAGCUUGUUGGCGGGGUAACGGCCCACCAAGGCAACGAUGGGUAGCCGAUUUGAGAGGAUGAUCGGCCACACUGGAACUGAAACACGGUCCAGACUCCUACGGGAGGCAGCAGUGGGGAAUAUUGCGCAAUGGGCGAAAGCCUGACGCAGCGACGCCGCGUGAGGGGAAUGAAGGUUUUCGGAUCGUAAACCUCUGUCAGAAGGGAAGAAACUACGUUGUGCUAAUCAGCAGCGUACUGACGGUACCUUCAAAGGAAGCACCGGCUAACUCCGUGCCAGCCGCCGC
rnacentral:rRNA from 1 species